CUCCACUAGAGGGCCACAUUAUCAAGUAGGCGGUGCACUACUUGUGCACUGUGUUCAACCAUUCUGUCAAUAAUAACUGCUGCUGUGAAGAGAACAAUUCUCAGACUGAAUGUUGAACAUCAGCCAGUUUCUCCUCUGGAUUUAAACCUUGUUGUAGACAUGGAACAUUGGCUGUGGAUUAUUCUUGCUGCUCUUUUCUUUGAGUGUAAAGGACAAGACACAGUGACCCAGCCAACAGGAGACGUCACUGCUGCUGAAGGAGACACAGUUACACUCAACUGUACAUUUGAGACAACAUAUUCAGGCCCCACUCUCUUUUGGUACAAACAAGAAGAAAAUGACUUUCCAAAGUACAUGCUGAAAUGUUUGUCACAAACAGUGUAUCACGCUCCAGAGAUCCAGAAAGACAGAUUUAAUGCUGAAAUCAAGGAGAAGUCAGUUCCUCUGAAGAUCCAGAAGCUUCAGCUGUCUGACUCUGCUGUGUACUACUGUGCUCUGCAGCCCACAGUGACAGGAAACACCACAACUCUGUACAAAAACCUUUGGAGCAAAGACAACACAAUACUCCACAACAUCCACUAGAGGGAGUCACACACUGUUAAACUUCAAUGCUUUCUUCUGAUCCAGUCUAGAUUCUUUUCCCUCAUCAGACACAGUUGUGAUAAAGAGCUUUAGAAAUGAAAUUCAUUUGAUAUAUGAGUCUCCUCCUACUGACUGCAGAGGUGGCUGCUUGGCAGAGAACUGUUUGAUACCAGCUGUGAACAUCAGACCAAACACAACUCACAAAACCACUCACAACUUCUUCAUCCUGAACGUCCAGUUUCAACAGUUCUCCUCUGUAAACAUGGAAAAACUCACUGUGAUUUUCUUCUUUUCAACUCUCGUAGGACUAACAGCUGGAAACUCAAUCUAUCCUGUAGGAGGUGAAGUCAGUGGAGGAGAAGGACAAUCUGUCACACUCAGAUGUAGAUAUGAGACAACUAACACAUACAUUUACCUUUACUGGUACAGACAUCAUUCUGACCUUCAGGCACCUCAGUUUAUACUGUAUAAAGGAGAAGGAACACAGAAAGGUUAUGACCAUAUUCCUGAUAAACGAUAUGAAUCUGAAACAACAGAUAAAUCAACUAGACUGACCAUAACCAGACUAACCCUGGCAGACACAGGUCUCUACUACUGUGCUCUAGAAACACAGUGAUACAAAGUGUAGAAGAGGCUGUACAAAAACCUGAACACAGAUAUCUGACUACUCUUCAAAGAGGAGGGAAGUGGGAUUCAAACCACAGCUUCAUAUCAGAUGGAUUCUGCUAAUUCCUGUUUUAUCAGAGUCACUGUGGUUACAGCUGCUAAUCAAACACUGUGGGAGGAUUCACAUGAGCAGCAAAUCCACAUCAAUGACAAACCAACUGGAUGAUGCUUCAAACACAACACACCAUGAAAACAA